rnacentral:rRNA from 1 species
UGAUUGGUGCUUGCAUCAUGAUUUACAUUUGAGUGAGUGGCGAACUGGUGAGUAACACGUGGGAAACCUGCCCAGAAGCGGGGGAUAACACCUGGAAACAGAUGCUAAUACCGCAUAACAACUUGGACCGCAUGGUCCGAGUUUGAAAGAUGGCUUCGGCUAUCACUUUUGGAUGGUCCCGCGGCGUAUUAGCUAGAUGGUGAGGUAACGGCUCACCAUGGCAAUGAUACGUAGCCGACCUGAGAGGGUAAUCGGCCACAUUGGGACUGAGACACGGCCCAAACUCCUACGGGAGGCAGCAGUAGGGAAUCUUCCACAAUGGACGAAAGUCUGAUGGAGCAACGCCGCGUGAGUGAAGAAGGGUUUCGGCUCGUAAAACUCUGUUGUUAAAGAAGAACAUAUCUGAGAGUAACUGUUCAGGUAUUGACGGUAUUUAACCAGAAAGCCACGGCUAACUACGUGCCAGCAGCCGCGGUAAUACGUAGGUGGCAAGCGUUGUCCGGAUUUAUUGGGCGUAAAGCGAGCGCAGGCGGUUUUUUAAGUCUGAUGUGAAAGCCUUCGGCUCAACCGAAGAAGUGCAUCGGAAACUGGGAAACUUGAGUGCAGAAGAGGACAGUGGAACUCCUGGUGUAGCGGUGAAAUGCGUAGUUAUAUGGAAGAACACCAGUGGCGAAGGCGGCUGUCUGGUCUGUAACUGACGCUGAGGCUCGAAAGUAUGGGUAGCAGACAGGAUUAGAUACCCUGGUAGUCCAUACCGUAAACGAUGAAUGCUAAGUGGUUU